rnacentral:rRNA from 1 species
AACUAACGCUGGCGGCGCGCUUAACACAUGCAAGUCGAGCGAGAACGCGAACCUUCGGGUUUGCUAGUACAGCGGCGCACGGGUGAGUAACGCGUGAGUAACCCAUCCCCGAGACGGGAAUAACAUCGCGAAAGCGGUGCUAAUACCGGAUAAGACCAAAGGUUUUUCGGAACCAUUGGUAAAAGUUUGCCUCUUUAUAAAAGCUGACGCUUGGGGACGGGCUCGCGUCCCAUUAGCUAGUUGGUGAGGUAACGGCUCACCAAGGCUACGAUGGGUAGCCGGCCUGAGAGGGUGACCGGCCACACUGGAACUGAGACACGGUCCAGACUCCUACGGGAGGCAGCAGUGAGGAAUCUUGCGCAAUGGGCGAAAGCCUGACGCAGCGACGCCGCGUGGAGGACGAAGGCCUUCGGGUCGUAAACUCCUGUCGAGUGGGACGAAUCCUGGGUGGAUGAAUAAGCCGCCUAGUUGACGGUACCACUGGAGGAAGCCCCGGCUAACUCCGUG